rnacentral:rRNA from 1 species
AUUGAACGCUGGCGGCAUGGCUAAUGCAUGCAAGUCGAACGAAAGCCCUUCGGGGCGAAAGUGGCGAAAGGGCGAGUAAUACGAUCGAACGUACCCCAAGGUGGAGGAUAGUGUCGGGAAACUGACGGUAAUACUCCAUGUGCUCUUCGGAGGAAAGCUUUGGCGCCUCGGGAGCGGCGAUCGUCCUAUCAGGUAGUUGGUGAGGUAAUGGCUCACCAAGCCGAAGACGGGUAGCGGGUGUGAGAGCAUGACCCGCCGCAUCGGGACUGAGACACUGCCCGGACUCCUACGGGAGGCUGCAGCGACGAAUCUUCCGCAAUGGGCGCAAGCCUGACGGAGCAAUGCCGCGUGUGGGACGAAGCGUCUUCGACGUGUAAACCACUGUCAGAAUCUAGGAACACUGACCAGAUUCAAAGGAAGGCCGGCUAACCUCGUG